UACGGAGGGUGCGAGCGUUGUCCGGAAUCACUGGGCGUAAAGGGCGCGUAGGUGGCGAGGCAAGCGUGCGGUGAAAGCUCGGGGCUCAACCCCGAGUCGGCCGUGCGAACUGCUUUGCUUGAGCACUGUAGAGGCAGAUGGAAUUCCGGGUGUAGCGGUGGAAUGCGUAGAGAUCCGGAAGAACACCGGUGGCGAAGGCGGCCUGCUGGGCAGUAGCUGACACUGAGGCGCGACAGCGUGGGGAGCAAACAGG
rnacentral:rRNA from 1 species